UUGACCUCAAAUCAGGUAGGACUACCCGCUGAACUUAAGCAUAUCAAUAAGCGGAGGAAAAGAAACUAACAAGGAUUCCCCUAGUAACUGCGAGUGAAGCGGGAAAAGCUCAAAUUUAAAAUCUGGCGGUCUUGCGGCCGUCCGAGUUGUAAUCUGGAGAAGCGUUUAUCCGCGUCGGACCGUGUACAAGUCUUCUGGAAGGGAGCGUCGUAGAGGGUGAGAAUCCCGUCUUUGACACGGACAACCGGUGCUUUUGUGAUGCGCUCUCGAA
rnacentral:rRNA from 1 species